UAUGGCAGCUGGAAAGGGAUGGGGAGAAGUAAUCGAGUUAGGAUAUGUGUUGGAGAUAAAUUAGAUGGGAAUUCCGGUGCUCCUCACCUGGACUCAGACUACAGAAGGGAUAUCUGUAAAAGAAGCUCUCAUUACCGAACAAGAAUUGGAACUGAAAGGAGAAAUUUCCUGGUCUCGUUUGAUAGAUGUAAGACACUCCUAAGCAAGAAAGGCUGGUGUGAAAGUUUCAUGCAUAAUAUAGAACGAUCAUUAAAGGCAUCAGAUAUCGAUUUGACUGAACACUCCUGCUGACUUUCAACAGAAGUUGCAUAGCCUUCAGCAACAUGUGACGCAAUUGAUGAAAAGAUGAAACCACGAAGAAACUGAAGGUGAAUAAGCAGCUAAGUAACAUGCCUCAAGACAUCCAGCCAGGAAGAGGAAGAACUAGAAUUUAAAGACAGAUUCUGUGGAUCAGGAAUCUGGUAGCGACAUUGGUGGGUGCUUCUGGUUCAGGAUAUCCCAGGAGACUAUAGUCAGCCAGGACAGCAGCAAUCUCAAGACGCACCUGGAUAAGCCUCCCAAACUCACACCCAUGGUGUUUGUCAGGCUUUGGAAGAUCCACUCCCAGUUUAAGGUUGCCAACACUGAAACUGGCUUCCCCUGGAAUGAGUGAUCCAAGAGGAAGUGAGAGGGACCACCCAAGGUGGAAGCCAUUAUCUUGUAAUAACCCAAUUUUGAAAGUGACUGACACCCCAUAACUUCUGAUAUUGUCUAUUCACGAAAAGUAAACCAAUUAGUCCAGCCCACAAUCACAGGGAAGGGAUUAUAGAAGCUCAUGAACAUUAGGAGAUGAGAGUCAUUGAGCAUCAUCUUUGAGGCUGCCUAUUGUCGAUGAAAAACAUUCAGCCUAAGAGAAAACUUGUAAGAGUUU